GAAACAUGUGUGCUUAGAUAAUUGCUGUUCUGAGCCUCAAACUGCUUAUAUAAUGUCAAAGGACAAAGAUGAUAUAUAGGAAUCUCAGCUAGCUGCUUGCUUUCAAGGUCAAGUGAUAAUGAUUGUUAUGGAGUCAUAUAUAUGCUUAGAUACUGAUUUGAGAAUCUAAUUCUAAAUUUGGGUCUCUACCUGGGAAGCUUUGAUAU
rnacentral:misc_RNA from 1 species